GAUGAACGCUGGCGGCGUGCCUAAUACAUGCAAGUCGAGCGAACAGAUGAGAAGCUUGCUUCUCUGAUGUUAGCGGCGGACGGGUGAGUAACACGUGGGUAACCUACCUAUAAGACUGGGAUAACUCCGGGAAACCGGGGCUAAUACAGGAUAAUAUUUUGAACCGCAUGGUUCAAUAGUGAAAGACGGUUUCGGCUGUCACUUAUCGAUGGACCCGCGCCGUAUUAGCUAGUUGGUAAGGUAACGGCUUACCAAGGCGACGAUACGUAGCCGACCUGAGAGGGUAAUCGGCCACACUGGAACUGAGACACGGUCCAGACUCCUACGGGAGGCAGCAGUAGGGAAUCUUCCGCAAUGGGCGAAAGCCUGACGGAGCAACGCCGCGUGAGUGAUGAAGGUCUUCGGAUCGUAAAACUCUGUUGUUAGGGAAGAACAAAUUUGUUAGUAACUGAACAAGUCUUGACGGUACCUAACCAGAAAGCCACGGCUAACUACGUGCCAGCAGCCGCGGUAA
rnacentral:rRNA from 1 species